rnacentral:rRNA from 1 species
GACGAACGCUGGCGGCGUGGAUUAGGCAUGCAAGUCGAACGGUAUCAUCCUUUCGGGGGUGAGAGAGUGGCGAACUGGUGAGUAACACGUAGGUUAUCUACCCUCAAGACGGGGACAACCCAGGGAAACUUGGGCUAAUACCGGAUGUGAGCAACUUUUAGUUGUUUGAAAGGUGGCGUAAGCUGUCGCUUGGGGAUGAGCCUGCGUCCUAUUAGUUAGUUGGUGAGGUAACGGCUCACCUAGGCAAUGAUAGGUAGGCGGCCUUAACGGGUGGUCGCCCACACUGGGAUUGAGAUACGGCCCAGACUCCUACGGGAGGCAGCAGUCGAGAAUAGUCUACAAUGGUCGGAAGACUGAUAGUGCGACGCCGCGUGAACGAUGAAUCCCUUCGGGGUGUAAAGUUCUUUUAUAUGUGAGCAGUGCUUCUUAUAUUAACAGUAUGGGGAGAGAGAUAUUAGCAUAUGAAUAAGCAGCGGCUAACUCCGUG